ACUAAAUCGAUGAGACAGUGAGAAGAGUGGUGA
rnacentral:guide_RNA from 1 species